AGCAGCCGCGGUAAUUCCAGCUCCAAUAGCGUAUAUUAAAGUUGUUGCAGUUAAAAAGCUCGCAGUUGAAUUUCGGGGUUAGUAGGUUGGUCAUGCCUCUGGUAUGUACUGGUCUCACUGAUUCCUCCUUCCUGAUGAACCUUAAUGCCAUUAAUUUGGUGUUGCGGGGAAUUUGGACUGUUACUUUGAAAAAAUUAGAGUGUUUAAAGCAAGCUAACGCUUGAAUACAUUAGCAUGGAAUAAUGAAAUAGGACGUUCGAUCCUAUUUUGUUGGUUUCUAGGAUUGACGUAAUGAUUAAUAGGGAUAGUUGGGGGCAUUAGUAUUCAAUUGUCAGAGGUGAAAUUCUUGGAUUUAUUGAAGACUAACUACUGCGAAAGCAUUUGCCAAGGACGUUUUCAUUAAUCAAGAACGAAAGUUAGGGGAUCGAAGACGAUCAGAUACCGUCGUAGUCUUAACCAUAAACUAUGCCGACUAGGGAUCGGAUGAUGUUAAUUUUUUAAUGACUCA
rnacentral:rRNA from 1 species